CACGUAGGGGGCAAGCGUUGUCCGGAAUCAUUGGGCGUAAAGCGCGUGUAGGCGGCCCGAUAAGUCCGCUGUGAAAGUCCAGGGCUCAACCCUGGAAUGCCGGUGGAUACUGUCGGGCUCGAGUCCGGAAGAGGCGAGUGGAAUUCCUGGUGUAGCGGUGAAAUGCGCAGAUAUCAGGAAGAACACCCGUGGCGAAGGCGGCUCUCUGGGACGGUACUGACGCUGAGACGCGAAAGCGUGGGGAACGAACAGG
rnacentral:rRNA from 1 species